rnacentral:lncRNA from 1 species
GUUAAGAGGGACUCUAUCGCUCUGGUCCCUCUCCAUCACGCACAAAUUGAGAAACCCUUAGUUCGCGGGUGAGGCUUUCCCUUGAUCUUGGCCCGCGGAUGCUACUUGGUGCUUGGCUGGCGAUUCUCGCUGCCACGUGGAAGCCCGCGCUCUAGAGGUCACAGUCACUGCUCAAGACAGACGGUCCUUCCAAGAUCCCGGCCACGGAGUCGGCGGCGAGGCAUCCUGUGGUAUAGCGAAGCUGCUGUAGCAUUUCCCGCUUGUGAGUCCCUCCUCGCCCACCAGAAAGGCCAAAACCUGGAUGAGAGGCAGCUGCUGAGAGCCGCCAGCCUACUGGCUGGACUAGCCGCUCGUCGCACGCGUGACCUCAGGCCCGACGAAAGGGUGCACACGGGUGGUGCAGAUGGACCACCCAGCAGGUCGUACUCCCUGGUCCCGGCCUGCGAUUCUCCUCCCUCCCCCAGGACAGUCACUGUGUCCUAGCCGCUCUGCGGCACCGGGUACUCAGUUCAGAGUUGGAAAUUCCUCUCCGCUGCAGGGUCUGGCAACGCAUGGUGUAGGCCUAUGAAUCUCAGCAUUCAGGAGGCUUACUGAAAAUCUGAGGUCAGCUUGAGUGAGCUACAGGCUGAGUUCCAGGCUACAGCCAGGACUACAGAACAAAAGGACCUCACUACCAACAGAAGAGAGCCACAGAGACUUAGAGGGGAAGCUCCUUAAGCAGGAAGAUAACUCAAAAGAGCUUCAGGAAGUCCCUGAAACUUAUCAGAUUCACUAGGCCCCUCCUGGCCCAAGUAAGCAAUAAGCUCUGAGAGUCCCUCUCAGAAGAGCAAAGCUAAACUGUAGAGAAGACCCGGACACCAGAGCAGCUGCUUAGAAGAAGCAGGAAGGAGAUGAAUGACUUGGAAUAUGUUACACCAAAUGAGGCACCUGGAAAGGACACCCUCCAACCUGUGGAGCUGCCUACAGGCUGUGAGCUGUCACCCAUGCUGGGGUAAGCUUUAUUGAUGCAUCUGUCUUUGAGUCGUUUUUGCUUUUGUAAGUAAUCCCUCACCCAUAUUCCUAAUACAACUCAUUGGCUCACCAAGUUGGACUUUGGGUGGCACAUGCCUUUAAUCCCAGCACUUUGGAGGCAGAGGCAGGUGGAUCUCUGAGUUCCAGGCCAACUUGGUCUACAGAGCAAGUUCCAGGACAGCCAGGACUACACAGAGAAACCCUGUCUUGAAAAACAAAAACAACAACAG